GACGAACGCUGGCGGCGUGCUUCAUACAUGCAAGUCGAACGAGAAGCUAGAGCUUGCUCUAGUGGAAAGUGGCGGACGGGUGAGUAAUAUGUAGGAAAUCUGCCCUAGAGAGGGGGGACAACAGAAGGAAACUUCUGCUAAUACCCCAUAUGAGCUUGGUUGAAAUACCAAUCUUGAAAACUCCGGUGCUCUAGGAUGAGCCUGCACCUGAUUAGCUUGUUGGUGGUGUAAUGGACUACCAAGGCGACGAUCAGUAGCUGGUUUGAGAGGGUGAACGGCCACAUUGGGACUGAGACACGGCCCAAACCUCCUACGGGAGGCAGCAGUGGGGAAUA
rnacentral:rRNA from 1 species